GAUGAACGCUAGCUGGAGGCUUAAUACAUGCAAGUCGAGCGGGAUUGGUAGCAAUACCAUGAGAGCGGCGCACGGGUGAGUAACGCGUACACGACCUACCUCUGACAGGGGGAUAGCCCUGGGAAACUGGGAUUAAUACCGCAUAUUAUUCUGAUUAAUAAAGGAUUGGAAUGAAAGUUCAGGCGGUCAGAGAUGGGUGUGCGUCUGAUUUGCUAGUUGGUGGGGUAACGGCCUACCAAGGCGAUGAUCAGUAGGGGGCGUGAGAGCGUGGUCCCCCACACGGGUACUGAGACACGGACCCGACUCCUACGGGAGGCAGCAGUAAGGAAUAUUGGACAAUGGCCGCAAGGCUGAUCCAGCCAUCCAGCGUGCAGGAAGAAGGCCCUAUGGGUUGUAAACUGCUUUUAUCAGGGAAGAAACCUCUGGAUUUACUCCGGAGCUGACGGUACCUGAAGAAUAAGCACCGGCUAACUCCGUGCCAGCCGCCGCCGUAA
rnacentral:rRNA from 1 species